CGCUCCGUGUAUCAUUCCAAUACUUUUUGAAACGCAAUCGCGACGAAUACUGGAAGAGAAUGCGAUCACUUCUAAUAAAUAUUCAUCAAUAAUUAACAUCUACGAUUAACAACUCGUAUCUACUCACAAUGCCGACAAAUAUUCACCGAUAAAAGCAGAGUCAAGAUUGCCACGGCGAGUGAUGCAUGUUUUUGGAUGAGCUUGUACCAAAGGAGAACAGCAAAGGAUGAACACGAGAGGAAGAAGAGAAUCGGAAAAAAGCCGGACAACUAACUGAGGGCGUGCUGCAAACACUUUGUUGCGCCGUUAAUUCGGGAACACGUCGUGAGAAGUAUCGUACGUUCAUUUGAUCAUGCCGCGGAUAUUUUAUCACGUUUUAAUUAGUGCGGGAGUGCCGUACAAAGUGUCGCGCGUUUAUUAUCCUGCAUAAUGAACAUUAACAAACUAAUGAAUAGAACGAGUGCAACGAAUUCUGACAAUCUGAAAGAAGGAGAAAGAGGAGGAGGAGCAGGAGGGGAGGCCAAGGACACAACCCGCAU